GAGUUGGAGCGCACGCGACGCCGGACUCCGCCGAGGCCGCGGCGAGGAGGCGGGGCUGCGGGUCGGGACGCUCUGCGUGGGGCGGGGCGCAAGGGAGGUUUCGAGCCCGGAAGAUCCGGCGCCCAGAGCUAACGGGAGUCCCAGAUUAAACACUUUAAGAUGAGAAAAAUUGAUCUCUGUCUGAGCUCUGAAGGGUCCGAAGUGAUUUUAGCUACAUCAAGUGAUGAAAAACACCCACCUGAAAAUAUCAUUGAUGGGAAUCCAGAAACGUUUUGGACCACCACAGGAAUGUUUCCCCAGGAAUUCAUUAUUUGUUUCCACAAACAUGUAAGGAUUGAAAGGCUUAUAAUCCAAAGUUACUUUGUACAGACCUUGAAGAUUGAAAAAAGCACGUCUAAAGAGCCAGUUGAUUUUGAGCAAUGGAUUGAAAAAGAUUUGGUACACACAGGGGGGCAGCUUCAAAAUGAAGAAAUUGUGAUUUGCUGUUGUCUGCUUGCCAAAUCAUGUCAUGUGUCCAAGCUCAGAGUGAAAACAAGAGGUACCUGCCCAAGGGCACGAAUACAAGGAAGUCUGAAAAAAUUGGGGCCAGGCACGGUGGCCCAUGACUGUAAUCCCAGCACUUUGGGAGGCUGAGGUGGGCAAAUCACCUCAGGUCAGGGGUUCAAGACCAGCCUGGCCAACACGGUGAAACCCUGUUUCUACUAAAAAUACAAAAUUAGCUAGAUGUGGUGGCAUGUGCCUGUAGUCCCAGCUACUCAGGAGGCUAAGGCAGGAGAAUUGCUUGAACCUGAGAGGCAGAGGUUGCAGUGAGCUGAGAUCACGCCAUUGCACUCCAGCCUGGACAAGACCGAAACUACAUCUCAAAAAAAAGAAAAAAUUGACUGGGGUGAGAGGGAGCCAUUACUGCUACAAUCUGCUACAAUGAAACACGGUAUGCUUCCUGAUGUGGUUUUAUGUGAAGCACACAGACCAGCCUAUGAAGUACUCUUGCCAAAAUUACUGAACCUGAAUUUAAUCAAACUCUAGAGAUAACCUCCAUUUUCAGGAAACUCAAGAGAUAGAGGAACAAGUAAAGUGACACUGCAAGGAAUCAAAUACACUAGUAGCCAGUAAUGCAGCUUACUGAAAUGUCCAGAUUUGUGCUUUUCCUGGACGUGGCAAGAUAAUACUUCCUGGCAUUUGUCUAAGUAGUGCCAUGUGACCAGUUCUGGCCAAUGAGAUGAAGAAUAAUUGACUUCGAGGCUGAGGCAUUUAAUUGCCUAUGUGAGACCCUUCGGGGCUCUUUUCCUCCUGUGCCAUAAUUGACCAACAGUGUUCUACACAGUAACUACUUUUAUCAGUCUGGGUCUGGAAGUGAUACUGAUGUGUUUAACAGGUAGCAGGGCUCCUCAAAUCUUUCCUAGUAAUUAUAACAAAAUGCUCUGGUAUGAUUUUUUUUAACAAUAUAUUUAUUUAAACAGGAAGUUGUCACUGAUAUACUUUAUUUAAAGUAUUUGUAUCAAUUUGUUUCAGUUUUUAUUUACAUUCUUUUCAAUAUUUUGGGUAAAGGAAUUCUGUUUUUAUCAGUCAGCUGUAGCUCAAUCUGAGAUGGGUAUAUAGGAGGAGUAAGAAAUUAAGCUUUAUUGUUUUAAGCCAAUGAGAUUUUGGAAUUGCUUGUUACCACAGUAUAACCUAGCCUAUCCUAACUGAUAGACAAGUCUAGAAUGUGGCUCAUCCUACAGGGCAAGCGACCUGGUUUCUUCAAAAAGUCAGUGGCAUAGAAAAUGUUAAUUAAGGAAAGGGGCCUGCUCUAGAUUCAAGGAGACCUAAGAGCUCCUAUAACCACAUGCCAUGUGUGGAUCGUGAUGGAUGCUGAUUUGAAUAGACAAACUGAAAAAUGACUUUUUUUUUUGAGACGGAGUUUCUCUCUUGUUGCCCAGGCUGGAGUGCAGUGGUACAAUCUCAGCUCAUUGCAACCUGUGCCUCCUGGGUUCAAGUAAUUAUCCUGCCUCAGCCUCCUGAGUAGCUGGGAUUACAGGCACCUGCCACCACACCCGGCCAAUUUUUGUAUUUUUAGUAGAGUUGGGGGGUCUCACCAUGGUGGCCAGGUUAGUCUCAAACUUCUGACCUCAGGUGAUCUGCCUGCCUCAGCCUCCCAAAGUGCUGGGAUUACAGGUGUUAGCCACUGCGCCUGGCCAAAAAAGGACAUUUUAAGAUAAUUGAGGAAAUUUUCUUGUAGACUGGGUGUUAUUCAUUUUACUAUGUGUGAUACUGGCUUUAAGCUUAUGUAAUAAAAUACAUGAGCUUAAAUGCAUAUAGAACUAUGGGUGACUGAAAUGCAUAUAAAGCAUAUGAGAUGCAUAUAGAACUAUGGAUAGAAUGCAUAUAUACAUGAGAUGCAUAUAGAACUAUGGAUGACUGAAAUGGCCUGAUAAUCUGGAAUUUGCUUACUAUUUAAGCAGAGCCUUUAUGAAGGAAAGAGGGGUAGUUGAAGAAGCAAAUGUGGCAAUAAAUUAUUGAAUCUGGGUGAUAGAUAUAUGGAGGUUCAUUGUACGAAUAUUUCUACUUUUAUAUAUGCUUUAAUUUUAUUUUUUUUUUUUUGAGAUGGAGUCUUGCCAAUUUUUUCUUUUUUUUGAGAUGUAGUUUUGCUCUCGUCCCCCAGGCUGGAGUGGGAUGGCGCUAUCUUGGCUCACUGCAACCUCUACCUCCCGGGUUCAAGCAAUUCUCCUGCCUCAGCCUCCCUAGGAGCUGGGAUUACAGGCACCUGCCAUCACACCCGGCUAAUUUUUUUGUAUUUUUAGUAGAGACGGGGUUUUGCCAUGUUGGCCAUGCUGGUCUUAAACUCCAGACCUCAGGUGAUCAGCCCGCCUCAGCCUCCCGAAGUGCUGGGAUUACAGGCGUGAGCCACUGCACCCGGCCCAGAAAAGCAAGUUUUAAAUGGAGAAGAGUAGGAAAGGCAUUUCAAAAGCCACAUUGGUAUACCAGAUAAAAGAUGUGAAGAGUCUUGCUCUGUCACCCAGGCCGGAGUGCAGGGGCACCAUCUUGGCUCACUGCAACCUCUGCCUCCCGGGUUCAAGUGAUUCUCCUGCCUCAGCCUCUUGCAAUAAUAACUAUUUUUAAAAUAAUAAAGUGACAACAUUAAUAAUA